GCCCCCGUGGUCCAAGGGAGAAGGGCGCUGGUCUUCUAAACCAGGCGAUGCGGGUUCGAGUCCUGCCGGGGGCA
rnacentral:tRNA from 1 species